AUAUUUUUCCGUUUAAGGAAUAAAAUAUAAAAUAAUAAUAUAAUAAUAUAACAAUUAAACAUAAAAUAGUCAUGUAUAUGAUAAUAGUGCAAUUUAUUAAAUGUUUAAUUUAUAGAUAAUGCAGAAAAUACUUCAGGAGAUUUGUCAUGUCAUAUUUGCCAACAAGAGAUAAACUCAGUUACCAUCUAUCCCUGUGGUCACAAUGUAGGAAACUAUUGCGCAAAUAAAUUCUCAAGAGGUGACGUAGAAUGUCCUUUUUGUAAAAGAAAGAUAGAAAAUUUUGGAAACUUAUAUACUUUGACAGAUUAUGAAUUUGAAAAACAAAGCCCGUUCCGAUUACGUGUCCUCACUGAAAACGAAACAAAUAAUUUAAAGUCUAAAAUUCAGAAUGACAUGACUGACGAGGAAUUUAUGGCUCGUUUUUGGUACCUUCGACGUUGCCAAGAACCUGCUAAAUCUUUGCUGCUGGACAUUAGACGUCAUAUUAUAACUGAUGAGGAUCGUAUAUAUAUCGCGGAACUAAAAGAGAAACUUUUAUCAGGCGAAAUUUCAGAAAUUGAUGUGUACAAAAAUCAUUUUAAACAAGAAUUAAUUGAUAAAGAAUGUAUUAUGCUAUGUGCAUUUUAUACAGGAUUCCAAAAUAAUUAUAUACAAUACGAACUUAACAUACGAAAGAAUUACCUUGAUUUCGUUUAUACGUAAUUAUUUAUAGAUUUCCUAAAUUAGUUUUCAUGUAAAACAUUUUCACAAAAAUUUUUUAGUUAAUGAUUUAUUGGUUUGUUGCUUAUCAAUGUGUUAUGUUUCUUCGAUGAAUAAAAAACUUAUUAAACAAAAAUGUAAAAGAAACAAAAAAAAAUAUCGUCAAUGUCUGUAUUUAUCAAUAAAUCGAUGUAAAGCUAAAGAA